rnacentral:rRNA from 1 species
UACGUAGGGUGCGAGCGUUAAUCGGAAUUACUGGGCGUAAAGCGUGCGCAGGCGGUUCGUUAAGCCAGAUGUGAAAGCCCCGGGCUUAACCUGGGAAUGGCAUUUGGGACUGCAAGGCUGGAGUUUGGCAGAGGAGACUGGAAUUCCUGGUGUAGCAGUGAAAUGCGUAGAUAUCAGGAGGAAUACCGAUGGCGAAGGCAGGUCUCUGGGCUAUAACUGACGCUCAUGCACGAAAGCGUGGGGAGCAAACAGG